rnacentral:rRNA from 1 species
UACGGAGGGGGCAAGCGUUGUUCGGAUUUACUGGGCGUAAAGGGUCCGUAGGCGGUUGUGUAAGUCUGGUGUGAAAUCUUCGCCGCUUAACGGGAAGCAGCCACUGGAAACUGCAUAACUUGAGUCUGGUAGAGGCAAGCGGAAUUCCUGGUGUAGCGGUGGAAUGUGUAGAUAUCAGGAAGAACAUCUGUGGCGAAGGCGGCUUGCUGGGCCAGUACUGACGCUGAGGCGCGAAAGCCAGGGGAGCAAACGGG